AAUAUUGCACAAUGGGCGCAAGCCUGAUGCAGCCAUGCCGCGUGUAUGAAGAAGGCCUUCGGGUUGUAAAGUACUUUUCAGCAGUGAGGAAGGCGGGUGUGUUAAUAGCACAUUCGUUUGACGUUAGCUGCAGAAGAAGCACCGGCUAACUCCGUGCCAGCAGCCGCGGUAAUACGGAGGGUGCGAGCGUUAAUCGGAAUUACUGGGCGUAAAGCGCAUGCAGGUGGAUGAUUAAGUCAGAUGUGAAAGCCCGGGGCUCAACCUCGGAAUAGCAUUUGAAACUGGUCAUCUAGAGUACUGUAGAGGGGGGUAGAAUUUCAGGUGUAGCGGUGAAAUGCGUAGAGAUCUGAAGGAAUACCGGUGGCGAAGGCGGCCCCCUGGACAGAUACUGACACUCAGAUGCGAAAGCGUGGGGAGCAAACAGGAUUAGAUACCCUGGUAGUCCACGCCGUA
rnacentral:rRNA from 1 species